rnacentral:rRNA from 1 species
UACGUAGGGCGCAAGCGUUGUCCGGAAUCAUUGGGCGUAAAGAGCUCGUAGGCGGCCUGUUGCGUCCGCUGUGAAAUCCCGGGGCUUAACCCCGGGCGUGCAGUGGAUACGGGCUGGCUGGAGGCAGGCAGGGGAGAACGGAAUUCCCGGUGUAGCGGUGAAAUGCGCAGAUAUCGGGAGGAACACCGGUGGCGAAGGCGGUUCUCUGGGCCUGUACUGACGCUGAGGAGCGAAAGCUAGGGGAGCAAACAGG